GGAGGAUUAUUAACGCAUGGAAGUUAUAUUCAAUAUAUAUAAAAUAUAUAGAAUUUAUAGCCCGUUGUAACAAUAUAUUAUAACAUAGUGAUGUUGGAAGUACGCGUUCAGUAAGAUCGUGGAAAAGGAAAGUCACAUAUUAAAAUGGCCCGUGUGAAUGUUGCUUCAUAGGUCGUCAAACAUGUUUGAAAAUUCCACAAAUAUUUUAAAUUCCACGACAACAUGGUAUCAACAAUACGAUCACGUCUCUUUAAAUUGCCAACUGGUCUUACAUAUAAAAGUUUUCGGAGAUAUCGUCGAACGAAAGGACUACGACGUAUUGGAAUACGUUAUUCGAAUUUAAUUGCGUAUUUAGUUUAAAUAAUUUUCCCGGCCCGAUAAAUAUAUAUCCGCUGUGAAACCGUUUCGUCCAUUUACAUCAAGAAUUCGGUCAGGAUUUAUUGGAAUUACGUACUCGUGACGUGAAAAUUGCUUGCUCGAGACUUUCCGUCGAGAUUUCUUUGGAAAUUUUAAGAAAAAAAAAGGAACGAAAAUCGAGCAGGCUGUGCUGUUUCCACGAUGAGCGACUCGGUGAUCCGAAGGAACUCGGUUGAACAUAUGUAGGACACAUCGGGCAGGAAGCUACGACAGUCACGUAGACAAUCGCCUUGCGUCGCGCGUCUCUGUCGCCAUGUGCAAAUAGAACCAGGGACGGAUCGAUAAUAAAAUAUUUGUUAAAAGGGGGAACCACAAAGAAUUAGCGUUGUAAAACUCGCCUCGAUGCGAUGCGGCAAGAAUACCAAAUCGUCCAUAUUCUGUAACGAGCAAUUGCACGAUCUCAUUGGCAAUCUAUCGUGUUUCGAUGAUUUCUUUCUUCGUUUCUAACACUUUCUUUUCCAACCUUUGUCUUCAUCUGGAAAAAUUUUUUUCAGAUCGCGCUGCAUCAUCGCUGGGAUCGUCACUGCGACUCUUGAUAAAGGACGAAUUGAUAAUUGGGGAAAAAAAAAAAAAAGGAUAAGAAUUUCGGCCAUGUAACGAAAAUUUUCGAGGUGGUAUCGUUAAUUUAAAAAAGCCGCGGCCAUAUUUGUCGGGCGGACGAUCACGAAUAAAUUUCUCUGAAUGAAAAAGUUAGAACCGUGUGCACCGUUGUUCCACACUUUCUACGUGGCCACGGUAUGUAACACGCGUCCAUGCCGAACUUGGUCCUUGGUACUUAUUGUCUCGUUACGUUCGCCAUGCGUGGAGAGCUCGUCCUCAAGACGAGUAAAGGUGGUCGCUGACACUGGAAGGUCGUUUCCCACUUUACAUUGACACACUCAUCGGCUCUGCGGUUUUACGAGGAUACGUGUUACUUUUGCAUAUUGCUUUCGCGCGAGAUAAACGUGAGAUAUCACUUUGCUUCCUAGCAAAGCGAACCGCUGAUGAUGACAAUGAUGAUUCAAACUGCUUGUGCGAUUACAUCACACUGUACAUAAUUUACAAUCACUAUUAUUGUACAGUGUGUCUAAACAGAUUUCAUAAAUGAGACAAUAACAAGUUGACGAAAGUGGAUUAGAUAUUUUUGCGCGGAAAAUAUCUAAGAAAAAAAAAGAAUAAGAUAAUUUCUUUUAUCCGCGAAAUAAAAACUUGAGAUACACUUAAAGGGUAUCUUCGCCAUGACUAAUUCCACAACAAUGGAAUCCCAUCCCGAGAUUAUCGACCGUAAGAGACAAGGCCAGCCAUUUCUUGCGGCCGAGGAGGAGGAGCGGCCAGCGAGUCGAAGCGAGGGGAAAGGAGAGGAGAGAGAAAAAAGGAAAAGAGAAAAAAGAGGAUUCGACUCGGAGGAGUCCGCCUCGGCUCGAAGGAAGGAUUUCGUUCUUGCGAUUAAGAAAAAGUGGUGGAUAGAAGACGCGCAAACGAGCGGCCGUUAACCCGCCAUCGAUGUCUCGAGGAGGACAAUUAGUGAGACCAGCCGAUUUCUUUUCCCACGUAGACGCUACGUUGUGAAACUCAAAAUAACGUCCGCUGGGCGUUGCCUUUUCCGUUUGUGAAAACGGAACAACGAGAUUGUCUUCCUCGUUGUCUUUGCCCGAUUCGAACGAAUUUCUUUUCUUCGUCGAAAGAAAAA